GCUGAGACUCCACCAGUUCGAGUAUAUGUUCCUAAGGUUCCAUAUCCAAUUCCAUCUAAACAUCUGAUGGAUCCUAUUAGUGCAGAGCAUCUGGCUGGGUUUAGGAAGAUGGUGAGAAGGCUUCCUCAAAAUAAGAGAGUCUCCUUCUCCAACAUCAACAAGAAGGUUUUCUACAAGGCUGUCCCAACCAUAUCACAAAUCCGCUACGCCUCUUGCAUCUCGGUGGUUAGUGGAGAACAGCCAAAAAUUAUUCCUAAGGAGUUUGGAGAUAAGAGUGUGAUCAAAGAAGUCCUGGAUGGAGAUCCUCACACUGAUACAAAGAAACUCAGUGGGAAUGCAAAGGUGAAAGAAAAAGUCCAGAAGAAAAGGGUCAAGGGUGAUCCUACAAUGACUUUGAUACCUCGCUUGUGUGAUGAGAAAUCCAUUGAGUAUGAGGUAAAGUGCAAGGGUACAUCUAAACCUUUCUCUAAAGUCAGAGUAAUUCUCACACAUGAGCUGAAAGAGAAAGGAGAAGCUGCUGUGAAGGGGUUGCUGAGCAGAGUUCUGAGGCUGAACAUGUCUGAUUGUGAAGCUUGUUUUGGAACAAGCCAUCAUGAUCAACCCGACUGAUCCCUGUCACCAAGUCAAGCUAGUGACUUAAACCAAGCCCUUGGUGGGAGGCGACCCACUGGUAAGUAUAAAUAUAAGUUGGUUUUGUUUUUGUUUACUUAUUUUUUGUUUUAGUUUAUUGAGUCUCAGGUCAAAAAGCAAAAUAAUCCGAGAUACUUCAAAAAUUCUAGGUUGUAGCAACUGAACAACCUGCCCUCUGAAAAGAGCGGCUGUUCCAGGUGACCAUCUGACGAUAGAACACCCAAAAUUUUUGUGGAGCGCCCGCUCCAGUCAGGUAAGUAUCUCAACCAAAGAAAAAAAAUGUUUAUUUUUGUUUUCACCUUUUUCUGAUUUAUUUUCACACACCAGGGACGGUGUGAAAUAAGUCUGGGGGAGGGUUUUCGUCGUUUACUAACUUGUUUCUUUCUUUUGUUUUUCUUUUGAGUCAGUUUUUAUGAUCGAGUCAGUCAAAACUUUGUGGGAAUUAGGACCUUAUUUUGUGUUGAUCACUGACCAGCUCGUGCUUUAGUUAUCUUAUUCAGUAACCUUAGCAGUGGCGAAAGACACACAUGUGGACCUGGAACACCCUGACAUUAUCUUGUUCGGUUCUCCAGAAGAUUUUGGCUUGUCGAGGUUACACUAGAAUGACGUACCUUCAUUUAACUUGAACCUAAUCUUGACUGCAAUUCUUCUUAUUAUGGGCAUUAGAUCAGGGAAACGAGAAUACACUCAGGAUUUCUUAUUCUUUUUAUCCAUCAGGCUGAUCCUGAGUGAAUAGCUCAUCUUUAGCUAGUUCUCACCCUGCACCUUAGCCUUUAUUCCACCUUCAUGCAUUUGUUUUUCAGUGUCAUAUGUGCAGAUAAGUGCAAAAAGGUCGGAGAGGAAAGGAUCAACGCAGCCUCUUACUCGUUACUGCUGCAGAAAUUCAGUCAGAAAGGAGAACAAGCAGAUUAAGGGAGCAACCGCUCCAUAACCAAUGAACUGCGCAAGAGCAGGGGUGGAGAACCAGAAUGGUCGCGAAAUCAGACCCACUAGUGGCACUCAGAACCAUCAUGUAUUACCUCCUUUUUCGUCACAUCACCAUAUCAGUCUUCAAAAAAAAAAAAAAAAAAAAUAACGAAAAUAAGACGAUGUAGAAGGGGAAGAAAGAAAAGAAACAUGGAGCCACUAGGAAGGUCGAGCAAGAAGUUGGUACCAAGUAUUGAAGAGUGAGUAGAGGAAAGUGGAAAGCAGAACAAUCAAUCGCUUGUUCUGUCAUCAGAACAUUCGCACCAGAUAGAGCAAAAACGAGUAGAGGCUAUGGACAUCAAUGGAUCUAUCCUCUCUUGCCAUUUUGUGCGAUAUCCUACAUCCUCUACAAUUAAAUGGUAGCCCCUAAACACUCUUAACUCCACCAUUAAAUAGCUUGUUCCACACCUAGACCGUCUACCCUGAAUAGUGCAUGUGAUGAGAAGCUCACACUACUCUUAAUUGAAUGUAAGGAGCUUUGUCUGGAAAGUGUAGCUUUUGCAGGUUUGAGAUGUAGAGUAUGGAGCUGAUCUUGAACAGCAGUCAGUGGGGUUUUGGUAAGGGUGUGUUGUCCUAGUUUCACUACUUGUAUGGUUCAGAGAUUCGUGGUUAAAGUAUGGUUCCUGAGAGUAAGAGAGUUCCCACACUUUCAAACCUUUCUCCCUGUUCUUGAUACUUGACAUUGUUUGAGGACAAACAAGGAUCUAAGUCUGGGGGAAUUGAUAUAUGGUGUUUUAGACAUCUUGUAUAUAUGCUUUCUAAUUGGUUUUCAAGUCUUUAUCAAGUCUUCCUAGUCAUUUUUGAGUCAUUACAGGUCUGGAGUUGCAUUGGAUGGGAGAUGGACCAGCUGGAACAAAAGAGGCAGAAAACAGUGUAAUUUCGUGAUUUUCACGCAGAAUAAUCGAGUGGAGCAACCCCUUGUGCAUAUUCCAGCGGCAGAGAUUUUUAAGGAAGUUUCCAAAUAUUUUGGGAUUUUACCUAGGGCUUCCCCCUUUUACUCCCAGGCCGCCAUAGACCGGCAUAUAUAUCUUUUCUUAUUUUUUAUUAUCAUUCGACGCUAGUUUUUACACAAGAAACCAUUGGAGACUUUUGUACUUGAAGAUUUGCUACCUUGAAGGGUAAAAGGCUUCAUCUCUCUCACCUUGAGAAGAUUCCUGAACCCAAUCUUAUUUAUUUAUUGAUUCAGAAUGUUUUCUUCAUAUAUCGUCUCUGUGAUUUCUCUGUUCAUGGCUGAGUAGUCGCUUGUUAGGUUUAGGGUGUUAGGGAUCAUGGAUCAAUGAACUAGACACAAAUAGGAUUGUUAUUCUUUGGUAUCUCUAUCUAUUGCUAAUCUUAAUGCUUGUGUUAAACUGGCCAUUUAUCGUCUGAUCAUAGGUUCAAUCUAAUCAUCAAAAGUGUUUUAGGUUGCUAGAAAAAGCAUAGAUAGGUGAUUGGUCCUUAGCCAACGAAAACUGAUGCUAAGGCAAAUCGUGAACCAAUUGAAUCUGAACUUAAUGCUUGUCAUCAUUCUCUGAUCCAAACGAUUGUUUAGGCAUUAGGAUUGCUUGAUAAAUUGGUAGACACCAUGACAGUGGGUUUAUCUAUUCAUAUUGUUCAAGUUCUAGAUUGGCUCUUAUUACCUUCCUGAAUAGUUGUGUAGCUCAUGAUCCUAAGUAUCCCGAUGAAUCACCCUGAACUUAGCUCUCUUAAUCAUCUGAAAACCUUUAAUUAAUCUUGUUACUUGCUUGUCACGAAACCCUCAAAUCUUAAAACCCCCAUAUUGUUUUAGCUUGAUAUUGAUCCUAUAGAAAUAAAGUGUAAUCGUUGGUCUCUGUGGAUUCGAUCCUAAAGUACUACAUCGACAUACCAUUCGAUUAUGGUAGUGUACACAUUAGGUUAAUUGGUGUGCGUAUACACGUAAUAUCAUAGACCUUAGGUAGGGCAAGUGCCACACUGAUUUUAUAAUUACUUCAAUAAUAACCUAUAAUUUAAGUAAAUGUCCCUAAUCAAAAUGUAUUUUAUAAUAAAUGCCCUAUAUUACAUAAUGUGAUGGAUCCACCCCUGGAAACAAAUGGGGGAUAUGGCAUAGAAACUUACACCAAAGAGGAAGAUGGACAUGGUGGGAGAAGAUGGAGCCCUCUCACAGCGCCAAUCAGCGCCAGAGAGACAAGACGAAGAACUGUGGUAAGACUCAGAGAGAUAAGGUUUGUGAGAAAAAAAUUGGAAGCGUGUACACGUGCAUGAAUAUCUGUGUGGCAUGCUAUUUUUCCAAAACAUAAUUUAUUUUAAAAUUAAAAUGAUGAAGAGAGGUAUAGGAAGGAUCCAAAAAAAAAAAAAAAGAGACUUGUUGGUUUAUCAUGAGAAUCCUACAUAUUUGAAACAGAAAGACAAUGAAAUCUUUUCUUUAUUACACAAAUCUCAGAUUAGUUAUUCAAUAAAGGCUUUGAAAGAACGAAUACUACUACUACUGCUUUCCCUUGUCAUCCGAGGCCGAGGGAAUUGAUGGAGAUGAGCAAUCCUGUUUCUUCACAACAGAAUUGUUUAUCAUCUUUAGCACAGCGUUGAGUAAACUACCCACAAGCUUUUCCUUUCCAAGAGAUUUGUGUGGCGUUAGAUCCACACGCUUUCAAAGAACUCUCUCAACUUUAACAUAGGGUGGAGAAGCUACGAGCUAUGGCUUCUUGCCAGCGUUCGUUGUGACCUCCCCCUCCCGGAUUUCUGCGCAACCUGACGGAACAAAUCUGACGGCAUCACACGGUAGUGUUUCUCCACACACUUUGUGAAUCACUGGGUCAUGAAACGUAGACCCCUAUGAGAGCUACCAGCUUUGGUUUUUCGUUGGUUCAGCGGCAUCGGAUCUUUGUUGGAGGACAGCCGAGUUGCUGACGGUAGCCACAAGAUAGCCAUCAGAGCUCGUGGUUUGUCUUUUCGAUUGACUGAGAUGGCUUCGGAGACGGAAGAAGGUGUUCACGGGAUGGCGGUUCUCUUUGGAUAUUAUCGGUUCUGCUAUCUCGACGCUUUGUGAGGUGAGAAAUACAUGGAGGUUCAAACCCGAGAGAUGAUAUGGACACAACGACUUCACGGUGGCUAGAGUUUUGAAAUUGGUUUCUCGCUUCGCCGACGAUUUGGGGCCGCGGGAAACCUCUGAGGACGGCUGUCUAAAGGUAAUGGUGUCGGAUCUGGGUUGGGCUUUGACAGCCCGCCUGUGAAGUGCCAAAAUCUGUGCGGCUCAGCCGUCGGUGUUCGCGAGUGAAAGAAAGCUAUGCUCCCCAAUUAUUUUCACCCUCAACCUCUCUCCUUUUUGCUAAGAUUGUUGUUGUUUAUUCU